rnacentral:lncRNA from 1 species
GAUGAUAUGCCAGUAGGUUUUUGCACAUUUAGUAAAUUGUGACGAGAUAUAAACCUAAAUUCAAACUUGCUUAUAUCGUGGGGAACAUUUCUUGGAUAUACGGGUAACCCCCGAAAUCUUGUUUGAAAGGUCCCUCUUUCUGAGAUACUAGGUCUUUAUACUCAGUGAUAUCUGGGGUAUUAUCCCGGGACUUCUGCUGAAUGGAAAUUCUGACCUAGUCCCCAUAUAAUACUUUCUGCAAAUGCUUGAAAUAUAGCACUGCCCCCAGCAUAAAAAAUGAUGAAACAUUGAAAAAUGCUAAUCAUGUGCUGUUGAAGAAAAGAUCCUCUAAAGGGGACACACCAAAAGUCAAACCGUCAUCUCUCUGCUGAACGGAAGUUCUGACCUAAGCUCUCACGGUUUCGCAUCUAACCCCUUUACAUAUAUCAUCUGUGGUAUACUCACCUGUAAGACUGAAUAUUGGGAUCUGGAUACGGGAGUAUAUUCAAGUGGUGGGACACUCGAAUAAGUUUAAGUGCUUAAGACAUUAAUAUCGUAUCUCGAAACAGUUGAACUUUGUGUGAAAAUUUAAAUGGACCGGUAUACUGACAAUCUAAGUGAAUUAUUUAAAACUUAAAGUGAAAUGAAGCUUAACGGUGUUGGUGAUUUGUCUCAUAAACUGAUAUGAUCCUCUUACACAAACUCACAAAAAUAGUGUCUAUUUUCGACAACUGA